rnacentral:rRNA from 1 species
GUGAACGCUGGCGGUAGGCCUAACACAUGCAAGUCGAACGGCAGCACAGUAAGAGCUUGCUCUUACGGGUGGCGAGUGGCGGACGGGUGAGGAAUACAUCGGAAUCUACUUUUUCGUGGGGGAUAACGUAGGGAAACUUACGCUAAUACCGCAUACUACCUACGGGUGAAAGCAGGGGAUCUUCGGACCUUGCGUGAUUGAAUGAGCCGAUGUCGGAUUAGCUAGUUGGCGGGGUAAAGGCCCACCAAGGCGACGAUCCGUAGCUGGUCUGAGAGGAUGAUCAGCCACACUGGAACUGAGACACGGUCCAGACUCCUACGGGAGGCAGAAGUGGGGACUAUUGGACAAUGGGCGCAAGCCUGAUCCAGCCAUACCGCGUGGGUGAAGAAGGCCUUCGGGUUGUAAAGCCCUUUUGUUGGGAAAGAAAAGCAGCAGGUUAAUACCCCGCUGUUCUGACGGUACCCAAAGAAUAAGCACCGGCUAACUUCGUG